CCAAUAGCGUAUAUUAAAGUUGUUGCAGUUAAAAAGCUCGUAGUUGAAUUUCGGGGUUCUACCGUUGGUCGGGCUAUCCAGUCUGUACUAGCGUGUAGAAUCUCUACCUUCUGGGGAACCAUCAUGUUAUUAAUUUAGCGUGGUGGGAAACCAGGACCUUUACCUUGAAAAAAUUAGAGUGUUCAAAGCAGGCUUACGUCUGAAUACAUUAGCAUGGAUUAAUAAAAUAGGACGGUGGUCCUGUUUUGUUGGUUGCUGAAUCACCGUAAUGAUUAAUAGGGAUAGUUGGGGGCAUUAGUAUUCAAUUGUCAGAGGUGAAAUUCUUGGAUUUAUUGAAGACUAACUUCUGCGAAAGCAUUUGCCAAGGAUGUUUUCAUUAAUCAAGAACGAAAGUUAGGGGAUCGAAGACGAUCAGAUACCGUCGUAGUCUUAACCAUAAACUAUGCCGACUAGGGAUCGGACGAUGUUAAAUUUUAUUGACUCGUUCGGCGCCUUACG
rnacentral:rRNA from 1 species